rnacentral:lncRNA from 1 species
CCCUGUACGCAGCACGCAGUACCACCUGUGCCCUCCAACAACUAAGGGCUUUCUCCCCAGAUCAGGCUCCUCAUGGGCACUCCUUCAGGAGAUUUCGCUCCCGAGGGCUUCCAAAUCUUCACCCCAACGGGUACUGAAGGGCAGCCCCAAAGCUGAACUGAUAAACCGCAGGCAAAUGUCCUGGGAAACUAGUAUUCAAUAAUCAAGUCAUAACUAAGUUCUUCAUUGAUAUACGUGUGUUAGCAAGCCAACUAAACUGCUGUUUGUUGAUUGGGUAAAGAA